rnacentral:misc_RNA from 1 species
UCGUGGAUAUGGCAGACUCUAGAUGG